GUGCUCGCUUCGGCAGCACAUCUGCUAAAAUCGGAAGGAUGUAGCCGAAGAUUAGCUUGGCCCCUGGGCAGUGAGGACACACAAAUCAGUGAAGUGCUCCAUGGUUUU
ensembl:snRNA U6 U6 spliceosomal RNA